UAAGGAAUAUUGGUCAAUGGACGCAAGUCUGAACCAGCCAUGCCGCGUGGAGGAUGAAGGUCCUCUGGAUUGUAAACUUCUUUUAUCUGGGACGAAACACUUCUUUUCUAAGAGGCCUGACGGUACCAGAUGAAUAAGCACCGGCUAACUCCGUGCCAGCAGCCGCGGUAAUACGGAGGGUGCAAGCGUUAUCCGGAUUCACUGGGUUUAAAGGGUGCGUAGGUGGGUAUGUAAGUUAGUGGUGAAAUCCCCGAGCUUAACUUGGGAACUGCCAUUGAUACUAUAUAUCUUGAAUACCGUAGAGGUAAGCGGAAUAUGUCAUGUAGCGGUGAAAUGCUUAGAUAUGACAUGGAACGCCAAUUGCGAAGGCAGCUUACUAUGCGGUGAUUGACACUGAGGCACGAAAGCGUGGGUAGCAAACA
rnacentral:rRNA from 1 species